UGACAAACCAUGGGAGGAUGUCUACCGGUGGAUUCAGAGUCAUGGCGGCUGAUCUCGAUGAGACGAAGCAGACCAGCAAAGACAAAUGGGCGGGGCUGGCGUACGACAUAUCAGACGAUCAACAGGAUAUCAGCAGAGGAAAGGGAAUGGUAGACUCCCUCUUCCAGGCUCCCAUGGGGGACGGGACACAUGUUCCAAUCAUGAACUCGUAUGAGUACAUCAGCCAGGGACUCAAAGAGUACAACUUCGACAACACGAUGGAUGGAUUUUACAUAGCUCCAGCUUUCAUGGACAAGCUCGUUGUCCAUAUAACAAAGAACUAUAUGGA
rnacentral:misc_RNA from 1 species